UCUCUCUCUCUCUCUCUACCUUCAAAUCUUCAAGACUUGUUCUUCAUUCAAAGCUUUGAAGGUGAUCCAUGGAGGUUGCAAGUUGAAGGGCAUUCAAAGGAGCUUUGUUCUAGUCUUGUUCAUCAUCUUUCUCACCAUCAUCUUCACUAGAAUUUCUACCCUAGCUUUGUGCUAGUACUCAAGCUGCAUUUUUAUGGCAGAAAAAGUGUUGUCGUGUAGCGGACAGGGUUUGAGAUUCGAUUCAAGACGCACUACUGAGUUGUUGCUUAGGAUGUUCGUGACACACUAGGGCGGACCUAUGCCUUAGAGACUAAAAUAAAGAUGGAACUAGUUUAAUUAUGUGAUGAACACUUUGUUUCAGUUAAUUUAAGACUAU
rnacentral:lncRNA from 1 species